rnacentral:rRNA from 1 species
GAUGAACGCUGGCGGCGUGCUUAACACAUGCAAGUCGAACGGUGAAGCAGGAGCUUGCUCUUGUGGAUCAGUGGCGAACGGGUGAGUAACACGUGAGCAACCUGCCCCUGACUCUGGGAUAAGCGCUGGAAACGGCGUCUAAUACUGGAUAUGUGAUGUGACCGCAUGGUCUGCAUCUGGAAAGAAUUUCGGUUGGGGAUGGGCUCGCGGCCUAUCAGCUUGUUGGUGAGGUAAUGGCUCACCAAGGCGUCGACGGGUAGCCGGCCUGAGAGGGUGACCGGGCAGACUGGGACUGAGACACGGCCCAGACUCCUACGGGAGGCAGCAGUGGGGAAUAUUGCACAAUGGGCGGAAGCCUGAUGCAGCAACGCCGCGUGAGGGAUGACGGCCUUCGGGUUGUAAACCUCUUUUAGCAGGGAAGAAGCGAAGGUGACGGUACCUGCAGAAGAAGCACCGGCUAACUACGUGCCAGCAGCCGCCGUAA